rnacentral:tRNA from 1 species
UGGCUCAGAGGUUAAAGUGUUUGCCUGCAAUGCAGGAGACCUGGGUUCGAUCCCUAG